UACGGGCACUGCAAAUUAAGUGGCGGCUAGGUUGACCGGGGAUUUCGGAGUGGAGGGUGGCUUGACUGCAGUCGCGCCUUCAAGCGCAUCCCAAGUUAGGGUAGCGACAGGACAGGGAGCCAAGUCAGCGGACCAGUCAGGGCUGGAGACAGCACCCAACCUGUCCCCAAUAAUGAUGGACGCAGCCAGUUCCCGCCUGAGGGCCCAGGGGAGCUGGAACUUGCUUAUGCUGGCCUUGGGAAAAGGAUUAUUAGUACACACAGUAAGAUUGUGGCUCUCCUUGAGGAGGAGUUUCCAAAACCAAAAUUAUUAAAAGAAGGAUGGAUGUUCUUCAAAUCUACAGGUGGGAGCAGACGUUGCAAGCUGUCCAUAAUCCCUACUGACAACGAGGGGUACUCCACAAGGCUCCUCAAAUCAGUGUCCAACAACGGCAAAGACAUAGUGUUUGUUGUUCCACUACAGGAGCAACUUUCCACCGAAGCGCUUCCUUUUGAUUCGCCAGAGUUCGCAAAGAUGCCACAGUCAUGCUGCAUUUCAUGUGGCAGUGAAAUGCCUUUGCAGAGGUUGCCGCUGCAUGUAGAGGGAUGCGAUGGCAAAGUGACUGAGAGUGAACCUGUGACGCCUCUUGUAGAAGAUUGCCAAGUUAUUACGCAGCCUUUUCCACCAUGACAGGGAUGGGGGAAUCCUCAGAGGUUUGCCCAGUCUGUCUUGUAUCAUACCCAGUUGGUAUCCUCCCAUCUCACACAAGCACAUGUGGUGACAGAAUGGGCAGUGCUCUCUGCAGUGGAACAGCUAUGGAAAAAGAAUUACCAGGACCUUCUGUCCCACGAUUACCACCAUCUUUUUCAUCAGGUGCAGUUAAAGUCACCUGCCAUUAUACAAGCGCCGGAUAAAAGCCAUGGUAAGAAAUAGAUUUUGGAAAAACUUGGGUUCGUCUGUAUUUGGAGCAUAGACAUUUAUUAGGAUUAAUUGUUCUCUAAGAAUUGCCCCUUGAAUGAUCAAAUAUCGUCCUGCCUUAUCUUUGAUAACAUUAUGAAUUUGAAAUGGUAUAGAGUCGUGGAUUAAGAUCAUAACACCCCUUGCUUGAGAGGUAAAGGGAGCUGAUAGAAUUCUACCUUUCCACCUCCUCCUCACUUUAAGCUCAUCUUCCUGCGUUAGCCCUCUGCAGUUCCAGGAUGUAAUUCUAACCUUAAGAUCAACAGACAUAAGGACCCAUUGUUUUGAAUUUUCCCAACAGUUUCAGUAUUUUCAGACCAAACAACAGAAAAAAAGAACAGUAAACAAACUUAUUACCCUCAACUAACAUCAAUCCACCUGAGUAUUACCACGUCAGGUGUCUCCCUCCCCUUAUUUUGUUGGACGUCCCGAAAGCAAAGAGCUGAUCCACACGAGGGUUAUUUAGAGAAUAGCUAUGGCCCGGUCCAGUCAGCAGCCUCAGUACAGCUGUAGUAACCCAGAGCAGUCAGCUCCCCCUGCACAGGAUGGUGGGUCAUUCUUGGACAGAUGGAAUGUACCAUCUGACCGGCCACACCCAGAAGAGGAGGAGAUAGUGAGAGAUGAGUGUGAUUCAGCAGUGUCUGGAGCUCCACCUGCUGAGCAUGACUCAUUUUGGAUUAAUUUUUAAUAUUUCCAGACAUUUCUCAAACCAGAGCUGCAGGCCCUGCUCGCCCUCCCUCGUACUCAGCACGGACAGGGUAGAACCAGUGUCCAUGCCAGAAGAAAAUCUUUAAAAAAAAAGAUGCUGUUUGAAACCAUCCCCAUGUUCACUGGAGGAACCUGCAACCCUCAGUUCAUGGUGUACCAGCUGAAGAUGAAGAUCCACACGUCGAACCCGAGAAGACAAGCUGAUGCUGUUUGAGUUCCCGCAGCCGCUUCCUGUUUGUGGAGACAUCAUGGUGGAGUCCUUCCACAAGUAGAACAAGAUGAUGAGGACGGUGAAGCUGUACUUCACUAAGACGGUAGAAGAAUUAGCUAACUGUGACGCCAGCAGCACGUUGGCCUCUGUGACACUGAACGUUAGCGACACCUGAGAGGGAGUGAGGGAGAGACGGAGGGAGAGAGAGAGAGACACAGACAGCAGGUCAUUACUGUACCUGCACACAUGACAAGACUACAGGUUGUUCCUGCACCUGUGAUGGAGCCGCUCAUACACAUUCAAGGACAAGAGCCACUCACUGCCUCCAUGUUGGCUGCAGCUCCACUCAUGGAUCAAUAACAGCUUCUUGGGGAGCGACUGUACCCAAUGAUUCAGGCCCUUCAGCCAAAUUUGGCUGGUAAAAUUACUGGGAUACUGCUGGAGAUUGACAGCUGGGAGCUGCUGUACAUGCUGAAGGCUGCUGAAGAGAUAUUUGAGCUGUUUGAAAGAACGAUAGCAGAGCAGAGCAUAUGACUGUGAGUGUUACUGUGAUCUUUUGGUCUGCAUUGGUAAAUUUCACCCUGAUAUUUUAGUCAUUAACUCUACUAAUUCAUGUGAAACCCUGAGUGGCUUGGCAGGGCAAAACUAGGGCAACAGUGGGUGAUUGGGGUAAAGGAGCACAAGACAGCAGCACAGCAAGUGGCUGCCUUUGCCCCAUCAGAGGAGGAGGUGCAUGUAAGUUCAUCACAUUUCCUGUCAGAACCUGUCAGAACAUUAACCUUAAUUUUUUCUCCUCUGCCAACAGUGGUUUGAUGUCUCCUACAGACUGGUGCAGCCACAACUCCUGAGACCCACCAGGAAUUGCAAGAGGGAUGUGAAAUGGAAACAUUUGAACAGUUGUGAUAAUCUGGGCCUACCUGCUGCACCGGGGCAAGUUCCAGGAGGCGCUGGGCUUCUACAGAGAGGUCCUGACACGAGACAAGAAGUGUGUGACCAUCCCCAGUCAGCGGCACUGUGUCAUCUACUACAGCUUCCUGCUGAGGAACCAGCUGCUGUACAAACCCGUCGCUCUGCUCUUCCACAAGAUGCUGUUUGAAACCAUCCCCAUGUUUACUGGAGGAACCUGCAAACCCUGCAAGUCCUGCCACAAGAUGAACAAGAUAAUGAAGAAGAUGAAGUGGAGGACAAGCUCAAAGGUGCAGGCACUGAUGGGAAACCUCCUCAGGCCGCGAUGUGAAGUUCAUUGUGAAAGACUCAGUAGAGGAGAAGAUGGUGGAGAUCCAGAGGGGGAAGCAGGACCUGGUGGAGAAGGCUUUUGGCUCCAAGAACAAUGACAGGAAAACAUCUUGCAUCAAUGACAUCAAGGCUCUGAUGGAGCUAUAGAUGUCUGACAAUGGGCCUGAGCUAAUGUGUCAACAGUGCAACAAGACAAACCUUGAACCAUUACAACAGUUGACUGUGUCCUCUAUUGUUGUCUCAGUUCAUAUCUGAGAGUUUUUGCACACAUUGUUAAUGUUUGCUUCCUACUUUGAAUUUGAUAUUUUGCUUUCAUAGUUUAUAAUUUUUGUUCUAUUUUGAUUCCAGCUGUUUUAUUAAAAUUUUGAUAAGUAGUUUUGUAAGUUUAAUUGUUCUAAGUAGUUGCCAUUAUUUGUUUUGCUUUUAGUCCAGACAUAUAUUUAUGGAUCGCCAACACAUUCAGCACACAAACGAGUGCUUUGGCAGUAUGUACAGUGUUACCUCAUGCCAAUAAAGCCAGUUGAAUUGAGAGAGAGA